rnacentral:rRNA from 1 species
CNACGCUGGCGGCUGCCUAAUACAUGCAAGUCGAGCGGACUUGAAGAGAAGCUUGCUUCUCCGAUGGUUAGCGGCGGACGGGUGAGUAACACGUAGGCAACCUGCCCUCAAGNUUGGGACAACUACCGGAAACGGUAGCUAAUACCGAAUAGUUGUUUUCUUCUCCUGAAGNAAACUGGAAAGACGGAGCAAUCUGUCACUUGGGGAUGGGCCUGCGGCGCAUUAGCUAGUUGGUGGGGUAACGGCUCACCAAGGCGACGAUGCGUAGCCGACCUGAGAGGGUGAUCGGCCACACUGGGACUGAGACACGGCCCAGACUCCUACGGGAGGCAGCAGUAGGGAAUCUUCCGCAAUGGGCGAAAGCCUGACGGAGCAAUGCCGCGUGAGUGAUGAAGGUUUUCGGAUCGUAAAGCUCUGUUGCCAGGGAAGAACGCUUGGGAGAGUAACUGCUCUCAAGGUGACGGUACCUGAGAAGAAAGCCCCGGCUAACUACGUGCCAGCAGCCGCGGUAAUACGUAGGGGGCAAGCGUUGUCCGGAAUUAUUGGGCGUAAAGCGCGCGCAGGCGGUCAUUUAAGUCUGGUGUUUAAUCCCGGGGCUCAACCCCGGAUCGCACUGGAAACUGGGNUGACUUGAGUGCAGAAGAGGAGAGUGGAAUUCCACGUGUAGCGGUGAAAUGCGUAGAANUUUUGGNNGNACCCCCNGUGGCNAAAGGCGACUCUCUGGGCUGNAACUGACGCUG